rnacentral:lncRNA from 1 species
CCACACAGAGCAUGCAUGCUCAGAUUGCAAAACCAACAAGGAGGAGAUGGAAUUCAGGAUAUAAAUGGUGGGUGUGGCUUGGAGUAGAGGAAGAAUAGGAGGAAGGAAGGCAAAGAUGGAUGAGGAUCUCCAGAACUUUUGGGAUGAAGAAAAAGGAAGCUGAGUUAGCUGAUAUGGUAUAUUCUGCUGAGAUCACCUGCCAAGGGUGAGGGGCUUGGGCUGAAGAAGCCUUUAGCUAAUCAAAACCUCCUGAAGUUUAAAGAGAUUGGAAUCCAGUUGGCAUGCUAUUAUCGCUUCAUCUCCGACUGAGGCAGCCAUUCAUGGUAACUCUCAGUCUUGAGGAUUCAACUUUGGCAGACAAGGGUCUCACAUUAACAACUGCAUUUUGCUAAAGUCAUGGUACAUGGGAACAAGGAGUUGUUGGCAGUAUGGCCCAAGAAAGACUUCAAGCUCCUUGAAGGAAGGCCACACAUCUCUCCGGUUCACCAGGAUGCCUGCUUGCGCGGCAGGGACCCUGACAUCAGAAGCUCUCAUGGCCCGAGGCUGUGUUGAAGAGGAAAUAAAUGAGCCUGCCCUACUUCCAGAGGCUCUAGUAAUCUGUGUGCGGCAGAGAACCCGGGCUGGGCAAGAUGUGUGUGGACGAGCGACCUCUAGUGGCUGAAAAUGGGAGCUGCAUCGCCUGCUUUGAAAGGCAGAGGAAGGCAGAGGGGGACCCUGAGUCAAACUCCAGGGUCUGUUGAGAAGAUCCUGUUUGUCCAACACCGUCCUGGGUGUUAGGGAGGAUUCAAAGGAAUUACAAGCAGGCAAUCUUAAGGAGCUUAUCCUCCGGCCUGGGGAAAUCAAAAGAGCAUGUGGUUUCUCUAUUGACUUGAUGCCACAGGAGUUUCGAGAAAGGAGAGGACCACAUGGAUCAGCGUAAUCCAGGAAGCUGAACCCAGAAGGACAAUUGGACUUUAGAUGAAAAGAGGGAGGGCAUUUCGAGGUGGGAGAAUAGCACGAACCAAGCAGGCAGGAAGAAAAAACCUUGAUGACACACAGCAGAGAUUUCUAAUGAAAAAAAUCUGAUGGUCUGUGUUGCGUUGGGAUGACUGAAAACUAAGCCAUGUGGCCAGAAACCCAAGAAUAGACCAUCCAGCCCUCAUGAGCUCUUUGCACAGAAUCCUUCUCAGGUCUCCACUGGAAACCGCCUCACACCCAGCCUUGGCGGCUCUUUCAGUCAGAAUGGAGCAAAGGGAUUGCUCUUUCUGCCCCAGUGCAUGGCAGGGGAUGGGCUUAUGAGGACAUGACCAGUGGUUGCAAACUCAAACGCUGCCCCGGCCAAAUAGUUAACGUAAAUGCAUGAAACAGACUGGGUGGAGGAUUCUGGCAUUUCAGAGAUGUCAACUUUGGUUUUAAAUUUUGCAGUGACAUU